GACAGCCAUGGUGCCGGCUACACCGUGUUCACUAAUCACUCAGCCCACUCAAACACUUAAGCGAACGUGAGCUAGUUUUCCAAAAGUUUGAUAAUAAUAAUCACUUCAACAUUACUUUAGGCUUCUUGGAAGAAAUAACCACAGUCCCGGUGCUGCUCCAGGAGUCCAGGGACCGUGUUUGUGUCACUUUGUGAGUUUUUGCGGCCCCAAAUGAGACGUUUAAAUGACACAUUCAGACGAGUUGCGUCACUCCAGCAGGGCUGGGCAAUAUGACCAUAUAUGCUGCUACUGGAGUCCUGUGACUGUGUCAUUUUUUGAUUUUCUCCAUUGAUGAACCACUGCUUCACUCCAGCAGGGCUGGGCAAUAUGACCAUAUAUGCUGCUCCAGGAGUCCUGUGACUAUGGUUCUGCCCCAAAUGUGAUGUUCAAAGGCGACUCUUUUUCUCCAACGAACCAUUGCUUCACUCCAGCAUGCAGACGUGGAGUGAUACUGAAAGUGCAAAGGAAUUAAUAAACUCCAAUACAUCCAGAACUCUGCUGUCCGUCUGCUCACCCAUUCCCGGUCCCGUGAUCACAUCGCCCCCAUCCCCUAGAACCUCCACUGGCUCACUGUCCCCCAGCUCAAACUCCUUCUCCUCACUCACAAAGCACUCCAUAACCAGGCCCCACCCUACCUCACAGACCUGCUCCACCAUCACACUCCUUCCCGCUCCCUCCGCUCCUCUGAUGCCAACCUCCUGUCCACACCACUCAGAACCAAGCACCGGACCUGGGGCGACAGAGCAUUUGCCAUAGCCGCCCCCUCCCUCUGGAACUCACUCCCUAAACACAUCCGAAACUGCACCAACCUGUCCACAUUCAAAUCACAAAUCAAAACUCACCUUUUAGAACUGGUUUUAAUGUGUGAUUCAUAUUGUGUGUUUUAUAUUUUUUUUAUGAUGGCACUGUUUUAUGAUCAUUUUAUCAGUGUAAAGUGUCUUUGAGUUUCCAGAAAAGCGCUAUAUAAAUAAAAUGUAUUAUUUUUUUAUUAUUAAUUAGACAUCAUAGCAGUGGUAUUAUAUCACAGCCAUGAAUCAGAUAGCUUGAUUUGAGCUACCUGUUUUAUAAGAAACCUUCUCCUACCCUCAGUGUUUAUUAUUAUUCUGAAAAAGUACUUCAUGUUGUAAAGAGAUGAUGCUGUUCUUGAACCCUUGUGGCAACUGAGUAAAUGAAGAAUUGACAGGGAGUCAAUAACUGACUAAUCAUUGUUAGGGCUCUGGAGCGUCAUUUAUGCUUACAGUCGUUUAUAAUUACCAUGUUUGCACUCUUUCUGCUGUUUGCUGAUGUUUGUGUGAUGGCUUUGACACUUUGUAAUUCACACUGAAUGCAUCAGUGUUCAUGCGUAGCAAAUAAGAGACUCGGCAAGUAGAAGAGGGUGCACUGGCAGCAUGGCACAAAGCAAGGAUGAUCUUUAAAUUCAGCUAUAGAAAUUUAAUUAAAGAGAAGACCCCACAUCUUCAUUACUCAGUCCUAUUUCUUGUAUGGUGAUUUAUCAGAAAGCUGCUGGCUGCUCUAGUGCUCUUUGCAUGCGAAUGUUCAUUCUCUUAAUCUUUCAAGAUCCCGAUUUGAUUGAAACACAUUAGGUCUGUUCUCUGUUUAAUUCACGCAGCUGUCAAAUCAUAUUAAAACCAAGACGGCGAGCAACCAAAGUAAACAAUAACAAGGCUGCUAGUAAAAUUGGAGAAACGAUACAAAUCACAACCGUUAUACUCGCUGUCACAUGGUCCCAGAGCCCAAAAAAGGAUGUCUUCAAAGUGUCCAACAGUCAGUUAAUUAACAGCAAUAAGUAAUGAAUAAAUGAAAGCAAAUUGGCACAUUAAAGAGGCUAUAAUUGCUAAAAGCAGUAUAUUCUUCAUCAAGGUGUUGCUUCCAGUCUGGUGGCUGUUACAGUCCAACAGCUAUGCCUGCUCUAUUAAUUGAUUUGAUUAUAUAUUCAGGUGGCUGAUGGUAAUGAUAGAUAUCAAAUUUUAAGUCAUAGCCUGGGAGAGUAUUUGAUCCAGUCUGAUUCAAAUCUUAGAUGUUUUUUGAAUCCUCUGCAGCAGGGGAUGAAUAUCAAUCUUUGUCUGCUUGAUCCUCAGAGAAAAAGCAGUACAAACACAGCAACACAGCGCAAUACCAAACCGCAUCAAUGCAUCCUUGGAGUCCAGCGUCUGUGUAUUAUUUCAUAUGAAGUUACUUCUCAGAGCAGAUGAACGAUUAUAAAUUCUGUCUUCUCUGCUCAACACAAUUGCAUCAUUCCCAGCUACGCCUAGCAGACAUCAGAAGAAAACAAUAUUGACUGUUUUGGGGCCAGAGUAAUGGGAAGCUUUCUUAGAUGCAUCUCCAUUAUGCAGUUGAAAUAUGUAUGCAAAUGCAUCAUAUUUACAUUUGCUAAUGUGGUCAAACAGAUGCUGUUCUGAUGCAUAUUCACUAUGCUGUUUUUUUUUGCUUCAUCUGAAAUUGAUGUAGGCUAAAUGUACUUUACAUUUUUAAGUAGAGCUAUCAAAGUUAACGUGAUAAUAAUGUGUUAAGACAAAUUUGUUUUAACAUCACUAAUUUAUUUA